rnacentral:lncRNA from 1 species
UAAUAUUAAUUUAUUUAUUCUUUUUGACAUAUAGCUCUUCGCCAUUGCGAAACUAACAAAGAUUGUGCAAGUGAUGAUGUAUGUCCUGAGGAUCUUAAAAGGUCGAUGUGUCUUUGGAAAGAAUGUUACUGCUUCCCUCAACAUGAUAAUUAAGUUAAAAAAAAUAAUUUUAUGUCAAUUCUUUUUCUUUUUUGGUACAAAUUUUUAUGUCAAUUCUAAUUAGCUUACAAUUUGAUUUUCAUGUCAUGAAUAUUUCUACUUUUAUGAAUUUUAUCGCUUUUUUUUUUUGGGUUUUAUUUAAUCGCAUUUUAUUAAUAAACUAAAGGCUUAAAUAUGCAAAAGGUCCCUGCACUUACGAGUCAUUUGAGUUUUAGUCCCUGUAUUUUAAAAAUAUUUCAUUUUGCCACUGCACUUUCAUUUUACUUUAAAAAUAGUCCCUAAACCCAUUUUUUGUUGAAGUGACACAUUUUUUAAUGAUGUGUCAAUUUUAUUUUACUUUUAAAAAAUUACUUAUUUAAGGGUAUUUUGAUCGAUUCACUGCAAAAUUAAAUGAGUCAUCAUCUUUAAAGUCCAGUCAACAGUGACAGAUCAGCAAAAAUGUGCCAUUUCAACACAAAAAAAAUGUCUGGUGACCAUUUUUAAAGUAAAAUGAAAGUGCAGUGGUAAAAUGAAAUAUUUUUAAAAUACAGGGACUAAAACUCAAAUGACUCGUAAGUGCAGGGAUCUUUUGCAUAUUUAACCCUAAACUAAAAUUUUAGUAAAAUAUUAAUGACUUUUAAUCGUCAUCAAAAUUUUAAGAGAGAUAUUUAUUAAAGUUAAGUAAUCAAUUGAGUGAGCUUUUAGAGAUAAAUGUGACGUUGUUAUGAGUUUGUUCAUGUUAUGAGACAUUUAUAAUAAUGUUGAUUAUAUGAAUGGUCACUUGCAACUACUUAAGGGCUAAAACCAAUUUAAUUAAAAUUAAUAAAGCAUAAGGUGUUUUACUUAUAAAUUGAUUUAAUUGUUGUUUUUUACAUGCAAAUUAAUGAGGCAUAAUAUGGGUGAAAUUCAAAAAAAUGUUGUUUAUGCUUUAAUGAUCUUUCUAACCCUAAUUAUGGUUCAUGAACUUGGCCAACAUAGUAAGUUCAUUUUCACAUACAUUUCAUUGUUUUUUCUUUAUCAUAUAUAAAAUCUUUCAUACCCUUUUAAUNNNNNNNNNNNNNNUGUAAGUGUAAGUGUGUAACAAACUAAGUUAAAAAUAAUUCUAUGUUACUUUCUUAUUAGCUUCUCAUAAUAAAUAAAAAAUUACAAUUUGAUUUGUAUGUCAUAAGGUUUCUAUUAUUAUGAAAUUUUUUUACCCUUUGAUUCAUUUGUGUUAGCCCAAAGACAGAAGCAAAUUUGCUGCUAUAAAAAAUGUCACAGUUUUCGCACAGUUUAGAUUUUGGACCAUAUUCCGAUUUACCAUGUU